rnacentral:tRNA from 1 species
UUAGUUGAAACCAAAAUAGAGGUAAAUCACUGUUAAUGAUUAAAUUGAAAAUUUUCCAACUAAA